rnacentral:pre_miRNA from 1 species
UAUAUACUCCCUCCGUCCCAAAAAUUUUGUCUUAGAUUUUUCUAAAUACAGAUGUAUCAAGUCAUGUUUUAGUAUUAGGUACAUCCGUAUCUAGACAAAUCCAAGACAAGAAUUUUUGGACGGAGGGAGUAUAUA